rnacentral:rRNA from 1 species
UACGAAGGGGGCUAGCGUUGUUCGGAAUUACUGGGCGUAAAGCGCGCGCAGGCGGUUCUUCAAGUCAGUGGUGAAAGCCCGGAGCUCAACUCCGGAAUUGCCAUUGAAACUGUUGAACUUGAGGAUGAGAGAGGUGAGUGGAAUUCCCAGUGUAGAGGUGAAAUUCGUAGAUAUUGGGAAGAACACCGGUGGCGAAGGCGGCUCACUGGCUCAUUACUGACGCUCAGGCGCGAUAGCGUGGGGAUCAAACAGG